rnacentral:rRNA from 1 species
CCCUACGGGGUGCAGCAGGGGCCCCUGAUCGACAUGCAGGCGGUGGCGAAGGUCGAGGAGCAGAUCGCCGAUGCCGUGGCAAAGGGUGCCCGGAUCGCCUGCGGCGGCAAACGGUUGGCUGCCUCCGGCUGUUUUUUCGCACCUACGGUCCUGCUUGAUGCGACCCCCGACAUGCUGAUCGCCAGGGAGGAGACCUUUGGGCCGGUGGCACCGCUCUUUGUGUUCAGGGACGACAGCGAGGCCGUGACCCUGGCCAACGCGACCCCCUAUGGUCUGGCCGCCUAUGUCUACAGCCGGUAUAGCGGUCGUAGUUGGCGGACGGCCGAGGCGCUGGAAUAUGGCAUGGUGGGGAUCAAUACCGGCAGGAUGUCGUCCGAGGCGGCACCGUUCGGCGGGGUCAAGGAGUCGGGCAUCGGGCGGGAGAGC